rnacentral:ncRNA from 1 species
GCACUUCUUUUAUAGCCAGUUAGUAGAAGUGAACCUUCUGCUAGUAUAUAUAUGUAGAGUAUAUAUGCAAAAUCUUCAAAUUGCGAGGAAAACCUAAAGCAAUCUAAACCAAGCAUACAUGGUAACAUAGUAUGUGGCACAGGUAAUGACUCGUGGUAUGGUAAAAUCUAGUAUUGAUUGACGAAAUAAGUCAAAUGGAUAAUUCGCAGCCAAGUACCUGGUAUAACUUACAAGGUAUGCAGUUCAUCGACUAAAUGUAGAUUGGCGCAAGCUUAAAAUAUAGUCAGACCUCAUCCGAAAGGAUGCA